rnacentral:rRNA from 1 species
AAUUCGAUUAGUUUGAUCAUGGCUCAGGACGAACGCUGGCGGCGCGCUUAAUACAUGCAAGUCGAGCGAGAACCAGCCCUUCGGGGCUGGGGAAAGCGGCGAACGGGUGAGUAACACGUGGGUAAUCUGCCCUCGGCACCGGGAUAGCCCGGGGAAACCCGGAUUAAUACCGGAUAGCCUCUCGAGCUCUCGAGCUCGCGAGAAAAGGUAGCUUUGGCCUCUGGCCGAGGAGGAGCCCGCGGCGGAUUAGCUUGUUGGUGAGGUAACGGCCCACCAAGGCGACGAUCCGUAGCUGGUCUGAGAGGACGAUCAGCCACACUGGGACUGAGACACGGCCCAGACUCCUACGGGAGGCAGCAGUAGGGAAUCUUGCGCAAUGGGCGGAAGCCUGACGCAGCGACGCCGCGUGCGGGAAGAAGGCCUUCGGGUUGUAAACCGCUUUCAGGAGGGACGAAGCCACUCGGGUUAAUAGCCCAGAGGGUGACGGUACCUCCAGAAGAAGCCCCGGCUAACUACGUGCCAGCAGCCGCGGUAAUACGUAGGGGGCAAGCGUUGUCCGGAUUUAUUGGGCGUAAAGCGCGUGUAGGCGGCCAGGUAGGUCCGUUGUGAAAACUCGAGGCUCAACCUCGAGACGUCGACGGAAACCAUCUGGCUAGAGUCCGGAAGAGGAGAGUGGAA